GAUGAACGCUGGCGGCGUGCUUAACACAUGCAAGUCGAACGGAAAGGCCCAAGCUUGCUUGGGUACUCGAGUGGCGAACGGGUGAGUAACACGUGGGUGAUCUGCCCUGCACUUCGGGAUAAGCCUGGGAAACUGGGUCUAAUACCGGAUAGGACGAUGGUUUGGAUGCCAUUGUGGAAAGUUUUUUCGGUGUGGGAUGAGCUCGCGGCCUAUCAGCUUUUUGGUGGGGUAAUGGCCUACCAAGGCGUCGACGGGUAGCCGGCCUGAGAGGGUGUACGGACAGAUUGGGACUGAGAUGCGGCCCAGAGUCCUACGGGAGGCAGCAGUGGGGAAUAUUGCACAAUGGGCGCAAGCCUGAUGCAGCGACGCCGCGUGGGGGAUGACGGCCUUCGGGUUGUAAACUCCUUUCGCUAGGGACGAAGCGUUUUUGUGACGGUACCUGGAGAAGAAGCACCGGCUAACUACGUG
rnacentral:rRNA from 1 species